rnacentral:rRNA from 1 species
GACGGAGGAUGCAAGCGUUAUCCGGAAUGAUUGGGCGUAAAGCGUCCGCAGGUGGCAGUUCAAGUCUGCUGUCAAAGACCGGGGCUUAACUUCGGAAAGGCAGUGGAAACUGAACAGCUAGAGUAUGGUAGGGGCAGAGGGAAUUCCUGGUGUAGCGGUGAAAUGCGUAGAGAUCAGGAAGAACAUCGGUGGCGAAGGCGGGUCUCUGGGACGGUACUGACGCUGAGACGCGAAAGCGUGGGGAGCGAACAGG